CAGCAGCCGCGGGAAUACGGAGGGGGCUAGCGUUGUUCGGAAUUACUGGGCGUAAAGCGCACGUAGGCGGCUUGGUAAGUUAGAGGUGAAAGCCCAGGGCUCAACCCUGGAAUUGCCUUUAAGACUGCCGAGCUAGUAGGUGAGAGAGGUAAGUGGAAUUCCGAGUGUAGAGGUGAAAUUCGUAGAUAUUCGGAAGAACACCAGUGGCGAAGGCGGCUUACUGGCUCAUUCUAGACGCUGAGGUGCGAAAGCGUGGGGAGCAAACAGGAUUAGAGACCCGUGUAGUCCCUGUCUCUUAUAC
rnacentral:rRNA from 1 species